GAUGAAGAACGUAGCGAAAUGCGAUAAGUAAUGUGAAUUGCAGAAUUCAGUGAAUCAUCGAAUCUUUGAACGCACAUUGCGCCCGCCAGUAUUCUGGCGGGCAUGCCUGUUCGAGCGUCAUCACAACCCUCAGGCCCCCGGGCCUGGCGUUGGGGAUCGGCGGAGCCCCCCGUGGGCACACGCCGUCCCCCAAAUACAGUGGCGGUCCCGCCGCAGCUUCCAUCGCGUAGUAGCUAACACCUCGCGACUGGAGAGCGGCGCGGCCACGCCGUAAAACACCCAACUCUUCUGAAGUUGACCUCGAAUCAGGUAGGAAUACCCGCUGAACUUAAGCAUAUCAAUAAGCGGAGGA
rnacentral:misc_RNA from 1 species